rnacentral:rRNA from 1 species
GAUGAACGCUGGCGGCGUGCCUAAUACAUGCAAGUCGAGCGAACGGACCAGAACUUUGCUCCUCCGAUGUUAUCGGCGGACGGGUGCGUAACACGUGGAUAACCUACCUAUAAGACUGGGAUAAUUUCGGGAAACCGUAGCUACGACCGGAUGAUAUUUUGAAUCGCAUUGUUCCAAAGUUAAAUUCGGUCUUGCUUUCAGUUAUAGACUGCCACGCGCUGCAUCAGUUAGUUGGUAAGGUAACGGCUUACCAAGGCAACGAGGCAAACACGACCCGAGAGGGUGGUCGGACACACGGGAAGUGAGAAUCAGUCGCGACACCGGCGCGAGGAAACAGUAGGGAAUCUUCCGCAAUGGACGAGAGGCUGACGGAGCAACGCCGCGUGAGUGCUGAAGGUCUUCGGCUCGGAAAACUCUGUAGUUAGGGGAGAACAUAUGUGUAAGUAACUGUGCACAUAUUGACGGUACCUAAUCAAAAAGCCACGGCUAACUACGUG